AAUCAACGCUGGCGGCGUGCCUCAGACAUGCAAGUCGAACGCGAAAGUCCCCUUCGGGGGAUGAGUAGAGUGGCGUCCGGGUGAGUAACACGUAGGUAAUCUACCUUUGGGUGGGGAAUAACCCCGAGAAAUCGGGGCUAAUACCGCAUAAUGCAGCGGCACCACAUGGUGACAGUUGUUAAAGCGGGGGAUCGCAAGACCUCGCGCCUAAAGAGGAGCCUGCGGCGGAUUAGCUAGNGGUAGGGUAACGGCCUACCAAGGCAACGAUCCGUAGCCGGCCUGAGGGGGCGGUCGGCCACACUGACACUGAAAUACGGGUCAGACUCCUACGGGAGGCAGCAGUCGGGAAUUUUGGGCAAUGGGCGAAAGCCUGACCCAGCAACGCCGCGUGAAGGAUGAAAUCCCUCGGGAUGUAAACUUCGCAAGAACAGGAAGAAUAAGUAGGGGACAAUACCCCCUAUGAUGACGGUACUGUUUGUAAGCUCCGGCUAACUCCGUGCCAGCCGCCGCCGUAAC
rnacentral:rRNA from 1 species